GGGCAAGGAGUAUAAGGGAGGGGAGAGAAGCAGAGCAGGAAACACUGCCUUGCCAGAAGACAGAUGAGAGCAACUAGUGAGAUGCCCAUCUGGCAUCUAGAGCAAGAAGCCUGAUCCAGCACAUGCUCUAUGCCUUUGCAGGCCCCUCAUGGCUGUUGCAGGACUCAGGAGACUCAUCCUCACUUUGCCUCAGCUACCCCGUGCCUCCAAUGGAGAUGAUCAUCUUGCCUCAUUCAACCUGCUGGAGUAUAAGACAAAGAUGAACUGAGCAAUGACAUAGCCAUGUGUCAGAAUACAUUUUUGCUGUUGAAUUCAUUGCCAGAAGUCACUUUUUAGUGGUCAUAUUCUCCUUGGGGAGGCUUUUAAUGACACCGAGGAGAGAAAAAGAUUGGAAGAUGCCCAUCAUAAAUGAUGGUGCAAAUAGAAAGCAGUUUGGCUGAAAUGUACCAGAAACAUUGAUCCACUAACCUACCUGAAAGGUAAAACAUUCUCUCGAACAAACAACCUCUUCUCAUCAACUUUUAAAGAGCUCCUGAUGGCACCAUUUUUAAAAAUUUAUUCAUUCAUGAGAGACACAGAGAAAGAGGCAGAGACAUAGGCAGAGGGAGAAGCAGGCUCUCUGUGGGGCACCCAAUGCAGGAUUCGAUCCCAGGACCCCAGGAUCACGACCUGAGCCGAACCCAGACACUCACCCAUUGAGCCACCCAGACAUCCCCUGAUGGCACCAUUUAAUGCCACCUAAAAAGUAUUUGCCAAAGGAACCCUGGUGUACUAGGAGGCCAUAAGUGAAGAUCUAGUUCCCAGAAGAGAUAUUGGUUAUAUUAAAUCACCAUAGGAUCAAGUGAAGAAUACAGCAAAAACCUCAGAGUUCUCUCCCUGCUGAAAUUUACUUACUUGCUCAUUCAUUCAGCUGCUAUUACACACAUCAACGGCAAUUCCAGGGAAUCUGGUGGGCAAUACUUAUGCCUCCAUAAGCAUUCUUUUUUUUUUAAUUGAAACAGAAAUAAGUAAGGUGGAA
rnacentral:lncRNA from 12 species